GCGUACGGCCAAACCGCCCUAGACGGGUCCUAUUUCGUUUCGAUCUAGAAAACUAAGCACGGUCGGGCCUGUUUAGUACAUGGAUGGGAGACUUCCUGGAUGGGAGACCUCCUGGGAAUACCGGGUGCUGUAGGCU
ensembl:rRNA 5S_rRNA 5S ribosomal RNA